rnacentral:misc_RNA from 1 species
AACGCACAUUGCGCCCGCCAGCAUUCUGGCGGGCAUGCCUGUCCGAGCGUCAUUUGCAACCCGUCAAGCCCGGCUUGUGUUGGGGCCCCGCGGCCGCCGCGGGCCCCGAAAGACAGUGGCGGGACCGCCGCCGCCCCGAGCGCAGUAGCACUGGCCCUCGCUCCGGAGCGCGCGGCGCGCCCCCGCCGGACCCCCCAAGACCUCGUAGAGUUGACCUCGGAUCAGGUAGGAAUACCCGCUGAACUUAA